rnacentral:rRNA from 1 species
AGACCCGAAACCCGGUGAUCUAGCCAUGGGCAGGUUGAAGGUUGGGUAACACUAACUGGAGGACCGAACCGACUAAUGUUGAAAAAUUAGCGGAUGACCUGUGGCUGGGGGUGAAAGGCCAAUCAAACCGGGAGAUAGCUGGUUCUCCCCGAAAGCUAUUUAGGUAGCGCCUCGUGAAUUCAUCUCCGGGGGUAGAGCACUGUUUCGGCUAGGGGGCCAUCCCGGCUUACCAACCCGAUGCAAACUGCGAAUACCGGAGAAUGUUAUCACGGGAGACACACGGCGGGUGCUAACGUCCGUCGUGAAGAGGGAAACAACCCAGACCGCCAGCUAAGGUCCCAAAGUCAUGGUUAAGUGGGAAACGAUGUGGGAAGGCCCAGACAGCCAGGAUGUUGGCUUAGAAGCAGCCAUCAUUUAAAGAAAGCGUAAUAGCUCACUGGUCGAGUCGGCCUGCGCGGAAGAUGUAACGGGGCUAAACCAUGCACCGAAGCUGCGGCAGCGACACUGUGUGUUGUUGGGUAGGGGAGCGUUCUGUAAGCCUGUGAAGGUGUGUCGUGAGGCAUGCUGGAGGUAUCAGAAGUGCGAAUGCUGACAUAAGUAACGAUAAAGCGGGUGAAAAGCCCGCUCGCCGGAAGACCAAGGGUUCCUGUCCAACGUUAAUCGGGGCAGGGUGAGUCGACCCCUAAGGCGAGGCCGAAAGGCGUAGUCGAUGGGAAACGGGUUAAUAUUCCCGUACUUGGUGUUACUGCGAAGGGGGGACGGAGAAGGCUAUGUUGGCCGGGCGACGGUUGUCCCGGUUUAAGCGUGUAGGUGUGUGUUCCAGGUAAAUCCGGUUCACUUUAACACUGAGGCGUGACGACGAGGCACUACGGUGCUGAAGCAACAAAUGCCCUGCUUCCAGGAAAAGCCUCUAAGCAUCAGGUAACAUCAAAUCGUACCCCAAACCGACACAGGUGGUCAGGUAGAGAAUACCAAGGCGCUUGAGAGAACUCGGGUGAAGGAACUAGGCAAAAUGGUGCCGUAACUUCGGGAGAAGGCACGCUGACAUGUAGGUGAAGUGAUUUACUCAUGGAGCUGAAGUCAGUCGAAGAUACCAGCUGGCUGCAACUGUUUAUUAAAAACACAGCACUGUGCAAACACGAAAGUGGACGUAUACGGUGUGACGCCUGCCCGGUGCCGGAAGGUUAAUUGAUGGGGUCAGCGCAAGCGAAGCUCCUGAUCGAAGCCCCGGUAAACGGCGGCCGUAACUAUAACGGUCCUAAGGUAGCGAAAUUCCUUGUCGGGUAAGUUCCGACCUGCACGAAUGGCGUAAUGAUGGCCAGGCUGUCUCCACCCGAGACUCAGUGAAAUUGAACUCGCUGUGAAGAUGCAGUGUACCCGCGGCAAGACGGAAAGACCCCGUGAACCUUUACUAUAGCUUGACACUGAACAUUGAGCCUUGAUGUGUAGGAUAGGUGGGAGGCUUUGAAGUGUGGACGCCAGUCUGCAUGGAGCCGACCUUGAAAUACCACCCUUUAAUGUUUGAUGUUCUAACGUGGACCCGUUACCCGGGUUGCGGACAGUGUCUGGUGGGUAGUUUGACUGGGGCGGUCUCCUCCUAAAGAGUAACGGAGGAGCACGAAGGUUGGCUAAUCCUGGUCGGACAUCAGGAGGUUAGUGCAAUGGCAUAAGCCAGCUUGACUGCGAGCGUGACGGCGCGAGCAGGUGCGAAAGCAGGUCAUAGUGAUCCGGUGGUUCUGAAUGGAAGGGCCAUCGCUCAACGGAUAAAAGGUACUCCGGGGAUAACAGGCUGAUACCGCCCAAGAGUUCAUAUCGACGGCGGUGUUUGGCACCUCGAUGUCGGCUCAUCACAUCCUGGGGCUGAAGUAGGUCCCAAGGGUAUGGCUGUUCGCCAUUUAAAGUGGUACGCGAGCUGGGUUUAGAACGUCGUGAGACAGUUCGGUCCCUA